GGGCCGGCCCCAAUGGGGGCUCUUUUAAAUCUGCUUUGCUGGAACUUUUUAUAAGGAAUCUCAGUUUGAACUUUAAAAGCCUCUCAAGACCAGGGAAGUCAAGCCAAGGACUUGUCAUCAGACUUCACCUGCAAUACCUACAGACUUGGGUGAAUUCCUC